GACGAACGCUGGCGGCGUGCCUAAUACAUGCAAGUAGAACGCACAGUUUAUACCGUAGCUUGCUACACCAUAGACUGUGAGUUGCGAACGGGUGAGUAACGCGUAGGUAACCUGCCUGGUAGCGGGGGAUAACUAUUGGAAACGAUAGCUAAUACCGCAUAAUAUUAAUUAUUGCAUGAUAAUUAAUUGAAAGGUGCAAUUGCACCACUACCAGAUGGACCUGCGUUGUAUUAGCUAGUAGGUGAGGUAACGGCUCACCUAGGGGAAGAUACAUAGCCGACCUGAGAGGGUGAUCGACCACACUGGGACUGGGACACGGCCCAGAAUCCUACGGGAGGCAGCAGUAGGGAAUCUUCGGAAAUGGACGAAAGUCUGACCGAGCAACGCCGCGUGAGUGAAGAAGGUUUUCGGAUCGUAAAGCUCUGUUGUAAGAGAAGAACGGGUGUGAGAGUGGAAAGUUCACACUGUGACGGUAUCUUACCAGAAAGGGACGGCUAACUACGUG
rnacentral:rRNA from 1 species